AGAGGAGUGAAGGGUUUUCAACACUGAGUGGAUCAAGGAGUAUUACAUGCAAGAGGCUAUAUUUCACUGAAUGUUGAAGUAUGAGUAAAAGGAGUCGGAUGAAUCAACUAAAAAUGUGAGGAAUGAAAAGGGAAAUUUACAGUCACAGAAUCAGUACGUGCUUUCAGGACACAGUGUAUUUGGCCUCAAUCCUGUAAGAAAAUGUGAAGCCACUUGAAGAUUUUAACAUAAAAUUAGUUCCUACUUUACAUGACUAUGAAAAUAAAUUUCAGAUGAAAAAAAUCCUAAACUCAAACAUUUCUUUUUAAAAAUUAAUAGAAGAUAUUGUUUGAGCAUAUAUUUAUGAUCUAGGCCAGAGAAAGCUUUCUGAAAUGAGAGAGAAAAUUCAUAUCAAUAAAUGUGGCAGUGUAAUAAAUAAAUUGCUUUUGAAUGAUAAGAAGACACCAUAAACAGAGUCAGAAGACCAGACACUGCCUGGGAGAAGGUAUUGGCAACAUGUGUAAUAGCCAAAGAAUCAGAAUAUAAAAAGCACUGCUACAGUAUAAGAAGAAAAGGCUAAACAAUCAAUAUAUAAAUAGGUAAAAUGUGUAAACAAAAAAUUUACUGUUUAUACAAACAUUUAAAAUACUUUGGUGGCCAUCAGGGAAAUGCCAAUUAUAGUAACAAUAAGAAUCCAUUUUCACAUAUUUCACAUAUUGGCAAAGACUAAAGCACUUGACAAUAUCAAGUGUGGCCAGAGAUGGGAAGUGGCGGCUCUGUCGUACACUGCUGGUGGCACAGUCAGCAUGGACAGCUCUUUGGUGGUGUUUGUUAAAAGGACCAGAACAGGAUGGGAUCUUUCAUUCAUCAGAGCUUCUAAACUUAGUUCUGCUCAGGCAUCUCCCAGUGGCUCCCACCAGCUCUCUCAUUUGUAACUGCAGAGACAUUGAAGAGUAUUUUCAUCUCAGAACAGAA